GGAAACUAAAACAAAGUGAGGGUGUGU
rnacentral:piRNA from 1 species